UACGUAGGGUGCAAGCGUUAAUCGGAAUUAUUGGGCGUAAAGAGCUCGUAGGCGGCCUGUCGCGUCGGAUGUGAAAGCCCGGGGCUUAACCCCGGGUCUGCAUUCGAUACGGGCAGGCUGGAGUGUGGUAGGGGAGAUCGGAAUUCCUGGUGUAGCGGUGAAAUGCGCAGAUAUCAGGAGGAACACCGGUGGCGAAGGCGGAUCUCUGGGCCAUUACUGACGCUGAGGAGCGAAAGCGUGGGGAGCGAACAGG
rnacentral:rRNA from 1 species